GAUGAAGAACGUAGCGAAAUGCGAUACGUAAUGUGAAUUGCAGAAUUCAGUGAAUCAUCGAAUCUUUGAACGCAUAUUGCGCUCUCUGGUAUUCCGGAGAGCAUGCUUGUUUGAGUAUCAGUAAACACCUCAACUCCCUUUCUUCUUGAAAUGGAGCUGGACUUGAGUGAUCCCAACGCUUUAUUCAUAAAGUGGCGGGUUACUUGAAAUGCAGGUGCAGCUGGACUUUUCUCUGAGCUAUAAGCAUAUCUAUUUAGUCUGCCUCAAAACAGAUUAUUACCUUUGCUGCAGCUAACAUAAAGGAGAUUAGUUCUUGUGCUGACUGAUGCAGGAUUCACAAAGACCGCUUCGGCUGUCUUUGUAAACUCGAUCUCAAAUCAAGUAAGACUACCCGCUGAACUUAAGCAUAUCAAUAAGGGAGGA
rnacentral:misc_RNA from 1 species